UACCAGCAGGAUGCAGAAAAUGGUUCCCAUCAGCACUGCAAAAGGAAUACAGGUUACCUCCUACUGGAAACUCCAGGUUCUGUUCCGGUGCCCCAAGAGGCGAAAGCGCAGGCCUGACCUUGCCGCCCAUUAGGCCGCAGUCUCUCACCCAGGUUCUGCCCACGCAGCACCGCAUACGGUCGGCUCCGUUCCGAUGACUCCACCGGACUCGGGGCCUCUGCCUGCCCUACUAGAUGACUGCACAACCCGAAACAUAACCACCACCACAAUGCCCGUAGCAUCUUCCAGGUCUCUUGGCCGCGGAGAGAUCCCUUCCGCCAAAAGCCCCACCUUUCGCCUCCUCCGGAAGUCCCACCUCCGCCUCCGCCAGAAGCCACACCCCUGUCUCCGCCGGAAGUCCCGCCACUGUCUCUCCCAGAAGCCACAGCUCUGUUACCGUUGGAGGCCACACCUUGUCUUCAGCCGCCCAACAGUCUGUAUGGGUGCAUCCUCUUCCGAGGCGCUCGUCCUUGCCACGCUGUCUCUCUAUGAGCAGAGAGAGAACAGAUAGAUUAUUAGCUUCCACACCUCAAGUCCUAAAGAUAGGAAAUCGGAACUGUUGUACAGCUCCCACUCACGCCACGGUGGAGCAGCUUCUUAGAGUGAGGUCCUUUGAGGAGGUCCCAUCUGCUUCUAAGCCGCCCCUGAUGUCGUGGUGGAGGAGCCUUCUGGAGACAAGGCCUCUGAGAAGGACCCAUCUAUUCCACAUGUAGAUGCAGAAGAUGAAAAAGAUUCCCCCGAGGACCUAUGAGAAGAGCCUCCCAGUGAGAGGGCAGAUGAGGUGAAAUCCUUCACCAAGGUUCUUGUUGACACCUGUGGUGGUCAUGACCUGGAGGCCUCAGCCAGGGCCUCCGAGGGGAUGGAGCUUCUACAGCGUCAGGGACCUUCAGUGAGGACCAAGGACAGGAGCCUCCCUGCUGCUGCUCUCCCGGAGUGUUGCCCUUAGUAGGACUUUAGUUUUGUAUUGUAUAGAUCUAGUGCUAGUUCUAGGUACAUGUGUAUUUAAUAUAGAAGUUUUUUACAUAUUAAAUAACAUUUAUCACUU